rnacentral:misc_RNA from 1 species
GAAAUGCGAUACGCAGUGCGAAUUGCAGAACGCGAGUCAUCAGAUCUUUGAACGCAAGUGGCGCCGGUUAGCAGCCGGCAUGUGGGGCUCAGUGUGUUUGGAAAUCACAAAAGCGGAAUGUGGUUGAAGGAGCUGUAAAAAGCUUUUUCUCCCAUUAAACGCAUGUGGGCUGACUUUCUACAAGUCACAUCUUUCGUACCCACACACCCUUCGGAAGUAGUCACUAGCAUCCUAGUGAUCUACGAAGAGAGUGAGUGUGGUAUGUCUUAAAGGUGUCAUGCCCAACCAUCAACAUUAUCCUAACCUCUACACCUGAGCUCCGCAAGGUCACCCGCUGAACUUAA